CUCUUUUUUUUUUUUUAGUCUAAGCUUGGUCUAUCUAGUUUGAGUUUGGGCAGGAGCUAUGAUAAAAUGUUGUUGAUUUUCUCUUCGGAUAGAGCUCAUUUAAUUGUUGGGCUGGGUUCAUGAACUACUAUGUGUGAAUGCUGUAGGGAGAUAGUUAUGAUUUGCUAUUAUUCUUGGUCUAUGAAACAGACUAUGGUUUGCUUGCACUAUUUGCUAUGAAGCUGGACUUAAUGUGGUUAUACUUGUGCCCCUAAGUCCUUAUAUUAUGUGGUGUUUGAUCUAAACAUGAUGCAAGAUAAGGUGUUGGGGUGUGGAGGUGAUUACCUCUUGAUGUAGUGAGGCUGCCCUUGUUGUUGCUUGAGGUACAGCGAGAGGAAUGCAGGGCUGUUGGGAGCAGGGGAGUUCAGGCUGACUUUGCUUCCUUUGGCAAGUCUUUUGGUCUACUCUAACAAAGGAGAAAGAGACACUUGGCUGCCACACAACUGCCCCGGGAGGUAGGCUCGCUGCCUUGGCUCACCGGCUGACCGGGUGGGGUCGCGUGAUGUGCGGCUUGGGCUCGGAAAAGAAGAGGCCCAACGUGUAGUAAAAGAGUCGGCCUUAGCUCAUACUUGUAAAAUUGUGUACUAGCAUUCCCAUUUCCUUUUUCUUAAUUUCUUACUUCCCAUGUGUUUCACUAUGUAAACUAGAGGGUGUUUGAUAGUAAAUUGCAUUUUCUUAGCUAGAAGACGAA